rnacentral:rRNA from 1 species
UCCAGACUCCUACGGGAGGCAGCAGUGGGGAAUAUUGCACAAUGGGGGGAACCCUGAUGCAGCGACGCCGCGUGGGUGAAGGAGCACCUCGGUGCGUAAAGCCCUAUCGGCAGGGAAGAAACAGACGGUACCUGACUAAGAAGCCCCGGCUCACUACGUGCCAGCAGCCGCGGUAAUACGUAGGGGGCAAGCGUUAUCCGGAUUUACUGGGGGAAAGGGAGCGUAGACGGCGAAGAAAGUUUGAAGUGAAAGCCCGCGGCUCAACCGCGGAAUGGCUUUGGAAACUUUUUUGCUGGAGUACCGGAGAGGGAAGCGGAAUUCCUAGUGUAGCGGUGAAAUGCGUAGAUAUUAGGAGGAACACCAGUGGCGAAGGCGGCUUACUGGACGGUAACUGACGUUGAGGCUCGAAAGCGUGGGGAGCAAACAGGAUUAGAUACCCGUGUAGAA